rnacentral:rRNA from 1 species
AAGCGGCGCACGGGUGAGUAACACGUAGGUAAUCUGCCCUUGGGUGGUGGAUAACCUUCCGAAAGGAGGGCUAAUACAGCAUGAGACCACGGUUCCGAAAGGGAUUGAGGUCAAAGCCGGCCACUUUAAAAAAGCUGGCGCCUGAGGAUGAGCCUGCGGCCCAUCAGCUAGUUGGUAGGGUAAUGGCCUACCAAGGCGAAGACGGGUAGCUGGUCUGAGAGGAUGAUCAGCCACACUGGAACUGAGACACGGUCCAGACUCCUACGGGAGGCAGCAGUGGGGAAUCUUGCGCAAUGGGCGAAAGCCUGACGCAGCGACGCCGCGUGAGUGAUGAAGGCCUUCGGGUUGUAAAGCUCUGUGGAGGGGGACGAAUAAGGGUUGGCUAAUAUCCAGCUCGAUGACGGUACCCUUUUAGCAAGCACCGGCUAACUCUGUGCCAGCAGCCGCGGUAAGACAGAGGGUGCAAACGUUGUUCGGAAUUACUGGGCGUAAAGCGCGUGUAGGCGGCUCGGAAAGUCGGAUGUGAAAGCCCUGGGCUUAACCUAGGAAGUGCAUUCGAAACUCUCGGGCUUGAGUUCUGGAGAGGAAGGCGGAAUUCUCGGUGUAGAGGUGAAAUUCGUAGAUAUCGAGAGGAACACCGGUGGCGAAGGCGGCCUUCUGGACAGUGAC